rnacentral:lncRNA from 10 species
CGAAGCAAUCCUAGUUGCCAUCAUUGGGGUGCUGGCAUAGUACUGGUCCUGCAGGUUUCUAACUUGUCAUCCUAGCUGGUAAUGUCUCCUGGUUUUUAUGGAAGGCUUAAUUGGAGAGUGUCUGAUGCCUGAAGGACUUUCCUGGUUGACAACCUUGAAAAUGGUGAAAGAAAGAAAUUGAAACCAGUUCUCUGCUGUCAAAUGGAGAAAAACAAAAACAAGGGUCAGAGAGCUAUUUUUAUUGAAGAUCUCAAGAAGGACCAAGUCAUUCAUCAAGUGGAGCGGAUGUGGUCAGGAAAAAGGACUGGCCAGAGAAAAUCCAUCUGCAGAGCCUCAUCCUUAUUGGUCAUUUUUCCCCAAAAGACAUCCCAGGAUUCCUGUAUCCUCUGAAUGUGACCCAUCGCCACCUUCAUCAUCAGCCUCAUCAUCAUCAAUGUUUACUUAUUUUAACCAAUAGAUACACAAUAUAAAAUUCUUGGAUGAAGAAUAGCAUUUUUUGAACUCACCUUUAAUACAGAGAAGUAUGGAGAGGUUAAACAAAUAAAAGGAUAGGCUACAAUCUCAAUUUUGAUAAAUCAAUUUUUAAAAACCUGUCAAUGGUUAUAAAAUGCAAAUAUACAAAUA